rnacentral:hammerhead_ribozyme from 1 species
AUUCAGAUGACGAGCCCCAAAUAGGACGAAACACGUGUCUCGGAU